GCUUCCUUAGCGUAGUUGGUUUAUCGCAUCCGUCUAAUAGACGUGCCCGGGUAUCAUCCUGGUCCAUACCACAAACGGAAGGUCACUAGUUCGAGCCUAGUAGGGAGCA